CCUACGGGUGGCAGCAGUGGGGAAUAUUGCACAAUGGGGGGAACCCUGAUGCAGCGACGCCGCGUGAGUGAAGAAGUAUUUCGGUAUGUAAAGCUCUAUCAGCAGGGAAGAAAAUGACGGUACCUGACUAAGAAGCCCCGGCUAACUACGUGCCAGCAGCCGCGGUAAUACGUAGGGGGCAAGCGUUAUCCGGAUUUACUGGGUGUAAAGGGAGCGUAGACGGGUAUGCAAGUCUGAAGUGAAAGCCCAAGGCCCAACCUCCGGACUGCUUUGGAAACUGUAUGGCUGGAGUGCAGGAGAGGUAAGUGGAAUUCCGAGUGUAGCGGUGAAAUGCGUAGAUAUUAGGAGGAACACCAGUGGCGAAGUCGGCGUACUGGACUGUAACUGACGUUGAGGCUCGAAAGCGUGGGGAGCAAACAGGAUUAGAUACCCCGGUAGUC
rnacentral:rRNA from 1 species